rnacentral:lncRNA from 7 species
GUCCUCUGCGCCGGUGCGUGGACCAUCCCGGCUAUAAAACCGUCCGCUCAACAUAUACUUAACUUCUGCUACGUGUCUCUCAGACGGUUCUUCGUAGAUGUUUGUGGAUGUUCCCUGCGAUGAAUAAGCAUCGAAUCGGCCUUGCCGACCACAUGGAUUUUGCAUCAACGUCUUGCUUUUAGAAAUUGAAGGGACGUAUAUAUGGUGAGCGAACUGAGAAUUAAAAGAUCCUGAUUGGUCUAUUAAUAUCUGGUAAAUUGCUUUUGCGCAUGCUGAAAAUUCUAAUUAGAACAUGCAUGGUGGUGGGUCGAUCCAACGUCGUCGUUAAAGCUUGGGGACCCCCCGCCGCCGCCGGGUAUAUAUCAGACCACCGGCUUCCAAGUUGCGUGGCAACUCACCAUCGACAGAAUCUGCAGCCGCACAUGUGAAUACGUGCCAGCCGCUCUUGGCUGUCCACAAGAUCGAGGGGACCAAGAAUCACUACCAUAUUGCUCAAUUUACGGAUGAACAUCUACAAUGUAAGAGCAAGGUUAAUAAUACGUCCG